GUGGGGAAUAUUGGACAAUGGGCGAAAGCCUGAUCCAGCCAUGCCGCGUGUGUGAAGAAGGUCUUCGGAUUGUAAAGCACUUUAAGUUGGGAGGAAGGGCAGUAAGUUAAUACCUUGCUGUUUUGACGUUACCAACAGAAUAAGCACCGGCUAACUUCGUGCCAGCAGCCGCGGUAAUACGAAGGGUGCAAGCGUUAAUCGGAAUUACUGGGCGUAAAGCGCGCGUAGGUGGUUCAGCAAGUUGGAUGUGCAAACCCCGGGCUCAACAUGGGAAUUGAAUCCAAAACUACAGAGCUAAAGUACGGAAGGGGGUGGUAGAAUUUCCGGUGUAGCGGUAAAAUGCGUAGAUAUAGGAAGGAACACCAGUGGCGAAGGCGACCACCUGGACUGAUACUGACACUGAGGUGCGAAAACGUGGGGAGCAAACAGGAUUAGAAACCCUGGUAGUCC
rnacentral:rRNA from 1 species